GGACGAAGCGGACGGACUUUUUCUCUCUCUCUCGCCGCCCUCCCUUCGGCCAAGGUCCGGCGGUUAGGACAGGAGUCCCUUUGGCCAGGAGGAGGAAUAGGAGGGAAAAGAAAGAAAUAAAGGGGGGCCACCAGAGAGAAAAAGUCUUUGAGGAGGAAGACUUCAGGGAAUCGAGUGCUGUAUUUGGAAAAGUGUCCAAAGCUGCAUCUACAAGCAGUUCUGAGCAGUCAGGUAACAAGCCCAAUAUGCAGGCUGACGCUGAAAUAAAUAUAGCAGAGGAAGCCUCUAUGAAGACCAAACCUGUAGAACUGGAACCAGCUGACAAUGGGAGUGACACAGAAUCUCCCACCUUGAACGAAGUUAAAAGGAAGAGAAAUGCUUCUGAUCAGAUUAUGGAAGCAACCCACAAAAGACCCAAGUAUGCCAGGAGUUCAGGUGACAACGUUCCAGUGAGACCUUGUAACAUGAAGGGGGGGGAAAAACAAGGGGAGCCUGAAAAUGCUGGAAGCACAGGGUCUGAUGUGUCUACAGGGGUGUUUAGUGUAGAGGCCAAGCCGCCUGUUGAUUAUUUAGAAAAACUCAAAAUGAUCAUUCGUGUGAUUAGUGUGGCUAGGGAGUGGGAAAAGAGACUGAUCCAAAUGAUGGACUCCUUACCUGAUGUGGACGUGCUUUGGGAUUGCAUUAAACAAAUGGAGCAAUUUUCUUCUGCAAAUACCCCUCAAAUCCAAACAGGGUUGGGAUCUCCUGAGUUACAACCGCUGCCAAAAGGAGGGAAAAUGAAAAAACUGCUUUCAGGCAGGAAAAGGCUAUCUGGGCCUCUGCCUUCGAGCCCCGCACGAGAGCCCCCAGCUCCUCAGCCCGAGUUCUCCACGGAAGAGCUGGAGCCUGAAAUUGAAGAGAGUGAUGAGGAAACCCCGGAGCCCCCAACUCGUCAGGGUGUACGACGAGGGCCUGCGGCUGCUGAAGAAAUCUCUCCAGAUCCUGAGCCCUCCUCCGAAGAGCUGGAGCCUGCAAUUGAAGAGAGUGAUGAGGAAACCCCGGAGCCCCCAACUCGUCAGGGUGUACGACGAGGGCCUGCGGCUGCUGAAGAAAUAUCUCCAGAACCCGAGCCUUCCUCCGAAGAGCUGGAAGCCCCCAACUCGUCAGGGUGUACGACGAGGGCCUGCGGCUGCUGAAGAAAUAUCUCCAGAACCCGAGCCUUCCUCCGAAGAGCUGGAGCCUGAAAUUGAAGAGAUUGAUGAGGAAACCCCGGAGGUGUAUGCGGAAGUGCUAAAGACGUGGGAAUGGGAGCAAAAGAAAUUCGGAGCUCGUCAUAUUGGGCAGGAGUUCCGACUAGUUAAUUUACAAAACAUAACCUCCUUUGCCCAAGCGGUAACCGCCUUGCACGGUGCCAUCCAGCAGGUCCUCGAUAAUGUGAGCCAAAAGAUUGACGCUGGGGAUUUCGUGCGGAUGAGAUUUGAGGGUGGGGACAUCGGGGACCCUUUGUUUUCGGUGAAGCUUAAAGGGGGCCUGGAUGCGGACGAGUUCCUCUCUGAGCUGGGCAGCCUGCUACAGAGCGACAUGGAGCUGUGCGCAGACCUCACUUUGCGACUUGUCGUAACCGUCGUGAAGCCCCCCCGUAGGGGCAUCCCUUCGCGGUGCCUGGAGAGCACCGGCUAGCCAUUGAUUGUGGCCAGUGAAAGGGGCCGGAGAGCUUUUUGAUUCAUCCGGGCAAGCCCCAGAUAGCCAGCCCGCUCCUGAAACAAUCGACAAUCUUUCUUAUGGUGGCAGAGCGAAGAGAUGAUGUUCCAGCAGAAGCAACUGCAGCAUCCUUUUUAGCCACAACAUGUGGCUGUCACUGUGUAGUUCUUUUUAGAUGGUUUUUAAAAUCACAUUUUAAUGCUGUACUCGGUAGAGGCUUCCAGGAACCAAGGAUAGAAAAAUUUAAAGGUCUCCCCAACUCUGCAGUCUGUUUGAACAUGCCCAAGCCUGUCACUCCCAGUGUAAAAUGUAAGGGUGAAAUAAAAUAAAGACAAAAGUUGUAUGUUUUAUCUGU
rnacentral:lncRNA from 1 species